UACAGAGGGGGCAAGCGUUAUUCGGAAUUAUUGGGCGUAAAGGGCGCGUAGGCGGCCUUCUAAGUCGAACGUGAAAUCCCCGGGCUCAACCCGGGAACUGCGUCCGAUACUGGAAGGCUUGAAUCCGGGAGAGGGAUGCGGAAUUCCAGGUGUAGAGGUGAAAUUCGUAGAUAUUGGGAAGAACACCAGUGGCGAAGGCGGCUCACUGGUCCGAUACUGACGCUGAGGUGCGAAAGCGUGGGGAGCAAACAGG
rnacentral:rRNA from 1 species